rnacentral:rRNA from 1 species
GCCUUGGUGCAAAUCACCUCGAAGGCUCCCAAUCUUGUCAUACAGUAGUGUAAGCUAAGCGGAGUAGGGCCUGGUUAUAACUUGGAUGGGUGACCACGCAGGCUUGCCAGGUGUUGUAGGCU